rnacentral:lncRNA from 1 species
UUCAGAUUCUAAAUUGGUAUUGAGACUAAUGGAAUGUAAAGAGGGGAAUCAGAUUUUAUGAAAGUAGAGUUCUGAGAACACAAUGAUGGUUUUGAUAACUAAAAAGAGAAAAGAAUAAGUCAUUUGGGGGCCUAGAAGAAUUGACAGAAACAGUCUAUUGGAUCCAGAGAAAGCUGUAACUUUGAUUGGAGAUGUGUUGAAUAGGAUGGAUGUGAGGUUAAUCCUGGUUGUCGACCUGACUGGAUUGAGCAAUACCUAGAGAACUGGUAAAGCACACUUCUGGUGUGUCUGUGAGGGAGUUGGCAGAGACAAUUGGUGCAAGGAUCCGCAAGAGGGGAAAGACCUGCCUGAAUGUGGGCCAUAUUGUCCAGUAUGCUGGGGAUCCGCAUGGAACAAAAAGCAGAAGUGGAAAGUUUGCACAUGCACCUAUUUGAGUCUUCUUAAAUGGCUACUGC